AUGGCAUCCAAUAGGGGUCAAGGAGGAAUUCAGCAAUUGUUGGCUGCUGAACAAGAAGCACAACGGAUUGUAAAUGCUGCGAAAAACGAAAAAUCGGCUAGGUUGAAACAGGCCAAAGAAGAGGCUGAAAAGGAGAUUGCUGAAUAUCGUGCCAAGCUUGAGUCUGAGUUUCAAAAGAAAGUUUCAGAUAGUAGUGGUGACUCUGGAGCUAAUGUUAAGCGACUUGAUCAAGAAACCGAAGAAAAAAUCCAUCACCUGAAAGAAGAGGCUGCAAGAAUUUCGGAGGAUGUUGUUGCCAUGCUCCUCAAGUAUGUAACAACUGUGAAAAAAUAG